rnacentral:tRNA from 1 species
GCGGAAGUGGCGGAACUGGUAGACGCGCCAGACUUAGGAUCUGGUGGAGCAAUCCGUCCGGGUUCGAGUCCCGGCUUUCGCA